AUCCAGCUGACGAAUUCUAAAUAGAACGAAAUGCUCGUCCUGUAC
rnacentral:hammerhead_ribozyme from 1 species